rnacentral:lncRNA from 1 species
GGAGGCUUUCAUAAUCUAGUAAGCAUGAGUAUUUUGCUAUGGUAAGAAUUUUGAACUCUCGUCAUAAAGGAACUCAUCAUGUAGUAAUUUAAGAUUUUCAAAUUAAAUUAUCCAAACCUUCCCAUAUCAUAUCGAUCAACUACCUAGAUUUAGAUCAAGCAUUCGCUACCCAAAAAUUUUAGGUUCAGAGAAAAUCUUAAGUCUAAACAGUUGUGUCCAAAACUUGGGAGAGUACAAGGUUGAAAACUAGGUACUUGCAAGGAAUUAUGGUAGAGCAACUAUUCAUCAUCUCCAUAUAAGAGUUUGUUCUAGAGGUUCAUUUUAGCAAUAGAUUCAUUAAGAGCUCUCCUUAGCUAGGAAAACUUAUUAUGAAAGAUAAAUAAAGAAGUUUUUAUUGGGUUUCUAAGGUUAUUCAUCUUUUUAGUUUUAUCUUAUCAUAAGGCAUUGGAAAUAAAUAGAUGAGUGAGGAAUACUUAGCUUCGUAUACAAAGGAUGCUCUCCCCCAAGCUGGAUGUUGACAUGAUCUACUAGGGUUGCUGACAGGCAGUGAAGGCGUACUGUUCCUCCUAGAGUGUAGUGGGUACUUGCUGUUAGUGAUAAACCUCUAAGAUUUGGGAGUCUAGAACUUUCUUAUAUCCGUUUAUCUUUUAGCAGGAUCAAUAUAUUUUUAUAAUUUUUUUAUUUAUAGUAUGCAGUUAGGAAAAUAAUAUGCUGAAAUUUAUUUUUAUGCCACCACAGUAGAUGAUUGUGUGGGUUGUUGCAUGACACAUUAAAUACAUGGGGCUUAGAAUUUUUCUAGAUGCAAUGCAAGACAUAUUUUUAUUUUUUUUUUCUAAUGCAGAAAUAGUAAAGUAAAGAUGCUGAAGGAAAAUGCAGAUAAAUACCAAGUUACCUAUUGGCAUGAUAUUUGGUGAUUUAAAGUCCUCCAAAUAGGACCUUCUUGUUCGCUCAAUGAUUGAGGGGCGCAUUAGACGAUGCCACUAGUGUUGUGUCUUGUGCAGAAAUUGAUUCCAAAUUUACUUUUGGUUUCGAUACCUACCUUGUAGGUGAUGGUGACUUGGAGAAGCGAGCAUCUGGAAUAUAUAUCUCUUCUUGUGUUGGUACCUCUUCUACCUCUUUGACGGUGUUCUCCUUGUUGGGGUAUCAAUCUUCAAAUCUUAACACCUCUCCUUUAUAGUCGAUCCAUCCAUAUACAAUGAUCUUCUUCUUUUGGUCAUGGAUACACUGCCUUCUCCUUAUUCUUCUUGGGCUGCUCAUCGAACAUAUAAUCACUAUUGAAAUGACGACGUACCUUUUCUGAAUGGAAUCUGAAAUGGAUCUCCCCUGUUCCAAUGUAAAUGAUGGUCUUGUUAGUGUUGAGGAAGGGUCUUCCUAGCAUGAUGGAUGGAUCAUACUCAUCUUCACCCAGAGUGCGUGUACUCGUAUAUUCAGGACCUUCACUUUUAGAAUUGGGAGUUGGCAAUCUCCAUUUUAAGCGCGUACUGCUGAUAAAGACAAGGCAGAGAUCAAGUGCAUGGGCUCUGUUGGUGGAAAAACACCAACAAAACCAAAUAUUUGUUCAUUCUUCUCUAACCUUAGGCAUAGAAAACAAGAUAAAGUUGAUGUUUAUGGGUGGUAAGAUCAAAAGAUGAGCAGGAAUGUUCCAUUUCAAAAACAUUUAUCAGAUCGGAUUGCUUAACCCAUGGAAGGAUUAUCUAUGCAUAUCUCUCUUUGUAUGAGUAAGACUAUCAUCUUCCAAAGGUUAAAUAAGCAACAAUUUUGCUCAAGUGGUUAAGAGAUUGAGAUUAAUAGAGUGAAGCUAGGAACAUAGAUUAAAAUAACUGAACAUGUUAAGUUGAUCAGAUUUUGGAUCAAGUGAAAUUGCCACUUAAAUAUGUUUGGUUCUUCAUUUAUAUGCAUACCAGGAUUCAGAAAAGCUUUUUGAUUAGCAGUUAUGAACCUCUAGGUGUUUACCGUAUCAUUUGAAGGGUUAUGGUACUAAAUCACCUUGUGGAAGCUUCUCUUGCCUAGCUAGUUGUGUCCAUGAGUGGCUUGUCUUCAUCAUAUUUUUUUGUUCUCCUGAUCUUGACAUUCUUGUCGGUCCUUGUGCUCCCUUUAUUGUCUUGAGAGUUUCUCCAUAAUGUUCUUUUCUUAAAGGGGUCUGGUGGAGAUUUGUUCACCCUUUUCCCUGGAGUGACUGUAGAUCUUGUGGCACUUAUCUUCUUGUUCCAUGGAUCUCUCCGUGGGCUGUGUUUUCCUUGCUUGAGGUUGUUGAACUUCUUGUGUCACUUCUUUCUCCAUAUGAGUUCAUCUCAGGGCUUCCCAGUUUGAGUUUUGAAAGUUUUCCUACAGGGGUAGUCCAACAAAGUAUCCAAUAUCCACUAUAGCCU